rnacentral:rRNA from 1 species
AACGAACGCUGGCGGCGCGCCUAAUACAUGCAAGUCGAGCGAGAAGACGUAGCAAUACGUUUGUAAAGCGGCGAACGGGUGAGGAAUACAUGGGUAACCUACCCUCGAGUGGGGAAUAACUAGCCGAAAGGUUAGCUAAUACCGCGUACGCUCCUUGGACUUCGGUUCAGGGAGGAAAGCGAUACCGUGGGUAUCGCGCUCUUGGAUGGGCUCAUGUCCUAUCAGCUUGUUGGUGGGGAACGCUCACCAAGGCUUCGACGGGUAGCUGGUCUGAGAGGACAAUCAGCCACACUGGCACUGCGACACGGGCCAGACUCCUACGGGAGGCAGCAGUAAGGAAUAUUGCGCAAUGGGCGAAAGCCUGACGCAGCGACGCCGCGUGGGGGAUGAAGGUCUUCGGAUUGUAAACCCC